GCUGGGUGUGGUGGCGCAUGCCUGUAUUCCCAGCAGCUUUGGAGGCUAACGCAGGAGGAUUGAGAGUUCAAAGUCAGCUUCAGCAAUUU
rnacentral:sRNA from 1 species